ACGGGUGAGUAACACGUGGAUAACCUACCUAUAAGACUGGGAUAACUUCGGGAAACCGGAGCUAAUACCGGAUAACAUGUUGAACCGCAUGGUUCAACAGUGAAAGACGGUCUUGCUGUCACUUAUAGAUGGAUCCGCGCCGCAUUAGCUAGUUGGUAAGGUAACGGCUUACCAAGGCAACGAUGCGUAGCCGACCUGAGAGGGUGAUCGGCCACACUGGAACUGAGACACGGUCCAGACUCUUACGGGAGGCAGCAGUAGGGAAUCUUCCGCAAUGGGCGAAAGCCUGACGGAGCAACGCCGCGUGAGUGAUGAAGGUCUUCGGAUCGUAAAACUCUGUUAUUAGGGAAGAACAAAUGUGUAAGUAACUAUGCACGUCUUGACGGUACCUAAUCAGAAAGCCACGGCUAACUACGUGCCAGCAGCCGCGGUAAUACGUAGGUGGCAAGCGUUAUCCGGAAUUAUUGGGCGUAAAGCGCGCGUAGGCGGUUUUUUAAGUCUGAUGUGAAAGCCCACGGCUCAACCGUGGAGGGUCAUUGGAAACUGGAAAACUUGAGUGCAGAAGAGGAAAGUGGAAUUC
rnacentral:rRNA from 1 species